AUUGAACGCUGGCGGCAGGCCUAACACAUGCAAGUCGAGCGGAUGAAGGGAGCUUGCUCCUGGAUUCAGCGGCGGACGGGUGAGUAAUGCCUAGGAAUCUGCCUGGGAGUGGGGGAUAACGUCCGGAAACGGGCGCUAAUACCGCAUACGUCCUGAGGGAGAAAGUGGGGGAUCUUCGGACCUCACGCUAUCAGAUGAGCCUAGGUCGGAUUAGCUAGUUGGUGGGGUAAUGGCCUACCAAGGCGACGAUCCGUAACUGGUCUGAGAGGAUGAUCAGUCACACUGGAGGUUAGACACGGUCCAGACUACUACGGGAGGCAGCAGUGGGGAAUAUUGGGCAAUGGGCGAAAGCCUGAUACAGUGAUGCCGCGUGUGUGAAGAAGGUCUUCGGAUUGUAAAGACCUUUAAGUUGGGAGGAAGGCCUGUAACUUAAUACGUUGCUGUUUUGACGUUACCAACAGAAUAAGCACCGGCUAACUUCGUG
rnacentral:rRNA from 1 species